UACAAACACCGAAGAAAGAGACUGGUUGUCGCCGGAUAUCUCGCCGGAUCCAUCGCCGGUUCUAUUCGCCGGAGUAUAUCAGCUGGUGGGUUUGUCUAAAUUACAAGCUUCAGAGUUUCAAAAUUAGUUCCAGAAGUGCUUUACUGUCAUUACUAGGUUUAGGAAUGAACAAUUGAGUCGUUUUGAUGAGUUUAGAGCUUGUAAUUGUUGAUGUCAACCACGUGUUUGAUGUAAUGCUUCAGUGAAUCAGUAGUGAUUUUGGUGUUGUCUAAAAUUUGUCAUAUGAAUCUGAUGUAAAUAUCUGUUUUAGUCGUCACCUAAAUAGUUGUUUUAAUA